CAAGGCUUGACAUGGGCCGGACCGGGCUGGAAACAGUCCUUCCCCUUUGGGGCCGGUUCACAGGUGGUGCAUGGUUGUCGUCAGCUCGUGUCGUGAGAUGUUGGGUUAAGUCCCGCAACGAGCGCAACCCUCGUUCCAUGUUGCCAGCGCGUAAUGGCGGGGACUCAUGGGAGACUGCCGGGGUCAACUCGGAGGAAGGUGGGGACGACGUCAAAUCAUCAUGCCCCUUAUGUCUUGGGCUUCACGCAUGCUACAAUGGCCGGUACAAAGGGUUGCGAUACUGUGAGGUGGAGCUAAUCCCAAAAAGCCGGUCUCAGUUCGGAUUGGGGUCUGCAACUCGACCCCAUGAAGUCGGAGUCGCUAGUAAUCGCAGAUCAGCAACGCUGCGGUGAAUACGUUC
rnacentral:rRNA from 1 species